rnacentral:lncRNA from 1 species
CUUGGUAAUUAAUCGACUUAUUGUUAAUUGUUAUAAAAGAUCAUAAUAUAUUUCACUUCUAGUUAAAAAAUUGUUAACUUAUUUAAUAUCUCCUUAUACAUGCCAUACGUGAUUCACUUUAUACUAUCAACUAUAUCUAGAGGCGUUUACGUUCAGGAUCAUUCCUCUAAGGUUUAAUAAUAGGAGUACGUUAUUGCCCAUCCUCCUUAUAAAACGCUCUAGAUCCGUUGAUAGGUACACAAAGUUUCUUGGAUAUAAAAUUGUUGUCGUUGAGGAGAUUGUCGCUGAUUACAUCUCACAGGCAGCAGGUCGGACCCGC